GGCUCAGAUUGAACGCUGGCGGAAUGCUUUACACAUGCAAGUCGAACGGCAGCACGGACUUCGGUCUGGUGGCGAGUGGCGAACGGGUGAGUAAUAUAUCGGAACGUGCCCAGUCGUGGGGGAUAACGUAGUGAAAAUUACGCUAAUACCGCAUACGAUCUAAGGAUGAAAGCGGGGGAUCGCAAGACCUCGCGCGAUUGGAGCGGCCGAUAUCAGAUUAGGUAGUUGGUGAGGUAAAGGCUCACCAAGCCAACGAUCUGUAGCUGGUCUGAGAGGACGACCAGCCACACUGGAACUGAGACACGGUCCAGACUCCUACGGGAGGCAGCAGUGGGGAAUUUUGGACAAUGGACGCAAGUCUGAUCCAGCCAUUCCGCGUGCAGGACGAAGGCCUUCGGGUUGUAAACUGCUUUUGUACAGAACGAAAAGGUCUCUAUUAAUACUAGGGGCUCAUGACGGUACUGUAAGAAUAAGCACCGGCUAACUACGUG
rnacentral:rRNA from 1 species